GACGAACGCUGGCGGCGUGCCUAAUACAUGCAAGUCGGACGCUUUUUCUUUCACCGGAGCUUGCUCCACCGAAAGAAAAAGAGUGGCGAACGGGUGAGUAACACGUGGGUAACCUGCCCAUCAGAAGGGGAUAACACUUGGAAACAGGUGCUAAUACCGUAUAACACUAUUUUCCGCAUGGAAGAAAGUUGAAAGGCGCUUUUGCGUCACUGAUGGAUGGACCCGCGGUGCAUUAGCUAGUUGGUGAGGUAACGGCUCACCAAGGCAACGAUGCAUAGCCGAACUGAGAGGGUGAUCGGCCACACUGGGACUGAGACACGGUCCAGACUCCUACGGGAGGCAGCAGUAGGGAAUCUUCGGCAAUGGACGAAAGUCUGACCGAGCAACGCCGCGUGAGUGAAGAAGGUUUUCGGAUCGUAAAACUCUGUUGUUAGAGGAGAACAAGGAUGAGAGUAAAACGUUCAUCCCUUGACGGUAUCUAACCAGAAAGCCACGGCUAUCUACGUGCCAGCCGCCGCAGUAA
rnacentral:rRNA from 1 species